GACGAACGUUGGCGGCGUGCUUAACACAUGCAAGUCGAACGGAAAGGCCCUGCUUUUGUGGGGUGCUCGAGUGGCGAACGGGUGAGUAACACGUGAGUAACCUGCCCUUGACUUUGGGAUAACUUCAGGAAACUGGGGCUAAUACCGGAUAGGAGCUCCUGCUGCAUGGUGGGGGUUGGAAAGUUUCGGCGGUUGGGGAUGGACUCGCGGCUUAUCAGCUUGUUGGUGGGGUAGUGGCUUACCAAGGCUUUGACGGGUAGCCGGCCUGAGAGGGUGACCGGCCACAUUGGGACUGAGACACGGCCCAGACUCCUACGGGAGGCAGCAGUGGGGAAUAUUGCACAAUGGGCGGAAGCCUGAUGCAGCAACGCCGCGUGCGGGAUGACGGCCUUCGGGUUGUAAACCGCUUUCGCCUGUGACGAAGCGUGAGUGACGGUAAUGGGUAAAGAAGCACCGGCUAACUACGUGCCAGCAGCCGCGGUGAUACGUAGGGUGCGAGCGUUGUCCGGAUUUAUUGGGCGUAAAGGGCUCGUAGGUGGUUGAUCGCGUCGGAAGUGUAAUCUUGGGGCUUAACCCUGAGCGUGCUUUCGAUACGGGUUGACUUGAGGAAGGUAGGGGAGAAUGGAAUUCCUGGUGGAGCGGUGGAAUGCGCAGAUAUCAGGAGGAACACCAGUGGCGAAGGCGGUUCUCUGGGCCUUUCCUGACGCUGAGGAGCGAAAGCGUGGGGAGCGAACAGGCUUAGAUACCCUGGUAGUCCACGCUGUAAACGGUGGGUACUAGGUGUGGGGUCCAUUCCACGGGUUCCGUGCCGUAGCUAACGCUUUAAGUACCCCGCCUGGGGAGUACGGCCGCAAGGCUAAAACUCAAAGGAAUUGACGGGGCCCCGCACAAGCGGCGGAGCAUGCGGAUUAAUUCGAUGCAACGCGUAGAACCUUACCUGGGUUUGACAUGGAUCGGGAGUGCUCAGAGAUGGGUGUGCCUCUUUUGGGGUCGGUUCACAGGUGGUGCAUGGCUGUCGUCAGCUCGUGUCGUGAGAUGUUGGGUUAAGUCCCGCAACGAGCGCAACCCUUGUUCACUGUUGCCAGCACGUUAUGGUGGGGACUCAGUGGAGACCGCCGGGGUCAACUCGGAGGAAGGUGGGGAUGACGUCAAGUCAUCAUGCCCCUUAUGUCCAGGGCUUCACGCAUGCUACAAUGGCUGGUACAGAGAGUGGCGAGCCUGUGAGGGUGAGCGAAUCUCGGAAAGCCGGUCUCAGUUCGGAUUGGGGUCUGCAACUCGACCUCAUGAAGUCGGAGUCGCUAGUAAUCGCAGAUCAGCAACGCUGCGGUGAAUACGUUCCCGGGGCU
rnacentral:rRNA from 1 species